rnacentral:rRNA from 1 species
GACGAACGCUGGCGGCGUGCUUAACACAUGCAAGUCGAACGGUAAGGCCCUUCGGGGUACACGAGUGGCGAACGGGUGAGUAACACGUGGGUGAUCUGCCCUGCACUUCGGGAUAAGCCUGGGAAACUGGGUCUAAUACCGGAUAGGACCACUGCCUGCAUGGGUGGUGGUGGAAAGCUUUUGCGGUGUGGGAUGGGCCCGGGGCCUAUCAGCUUGUUGGUGGGGUGAUGGCCUACCAAGGCGACGACGGGUAGCCGGCCUGGGAGGGUGACCGGCCACACUGGGACUGAGAUACGGCCCAGACUCCUACGGGGGGCAGCAGUGGGGAAUAUUGCACAAUGGGCGCAAGCCUGAUGCAGCGACGCCGCGUGAGGGAUGACGGCCUUCGGGUUGUAAACCUCUUUCAGCACCGACGAAGCGCAAGUGACGGUAGGUGCAGAAGAAGGACCGGCCAACUACGUGCCAGCAGCCGCAGUAA